AUACAAAAUUUUGUGAUAAUCUAAUGGCGUGGUUUAGGAAUAUCUAGUUUUUAGCACAAGAGGGUUUCAGAAGGUGUCAGUUUGAGGUUGGGUAGGAUUUCUAUGAUAUCUAAAGAUCUAUGAAUUGGAUUAAGAUGAAAAUUGGCAUGGUGUUGAAAGACUUGAAGAUCAAGCUACACACCAAUUUUGAGACAAAGUUAACGGUUGGAAAGGAAGAAAUCAUUGUUGGAAUUUCCA
rnacentral:lncRNA from 1 species